UACGUAGGGUGCAGGCGUUAAUCGGAAUUACUGGGCGUAAAGCGUGCGUAGGCGGCUUGUUGCGUCAGCUGUGAAAACCCGCAGCUCAACUGUGGGCUUGCAGCUGAUACGGGCAGGCUUGAGUUCGGUAGGGGAGACUGGAAUUCCUGGUGUAGCGGUGAAAUGCGCAGAUAUCAGGAGGAACACCGGUGGCGAAGGCGGUUCUCUGGGCAUUACCUGACGCUGAGGAGCGAAAGUGUGGGGAGCGAACAGG
rnacentral:rRNA from 1 species